rnacentral:rRNA from 1 species
CCAGCUGCGUGAAUUAAUGUGAAUUGCAGAACACAUUGAACAUCGACACCUUGAACGCACAUGGCGGCCUCGGGUUUACCCCGGGGCCACGCCCGUCUGAGGGUCGGUUGGCUAAAGCGAUCGCUACAUGUCCUUUUCCCGUUCUCACCCGGGAGCUCCUCGAGGAGUUAGACGGGAGGGAGCGGUGGUAGCGCAUUGGGCCUUCGUGGAUAGCGACGGCUUUCGCCUGCUCUCGGCGAACCGUCGCACGUCCUCGUGGCUUUAAGUACAGGAUGCGCCGUCGUCCUUACUGUCGUACGAGACUAUGCUCGCCUCGUCGGUGGUCUCUCGCUGCGCGACAGGUACCCGGCACGUGUCAUUAUGCGGGCUGUUUGGACCUGGGACGCGCGUGAAAUGUUCGGGAGAUGGGCCGCAUAGCAAUGUCUCGUUGGCGACAAACGGCGCCCGCCUCCGUUUCGGGGGCGUUAAACCAUACAACCAACCAUAUUUUUAUAUCCGACCUCAGAUCGGACGAGAUUACCCGCUGAAUUUAAGCAUAUUACUAAGCGGAGGAAAAGAAACUAACAAGGAUUUCCCUAGUAACGG